GAUGAACGCUGGCGGCGUGCCUAAUACAUGCAAGUCGAGCGAACAGACGAGGAGCUUGCUCCUCUGACGUUAGCGGCGGACGGGUGAGUAACACGUGGAUAACCUACCUAUAAGACUGGGAUAACUUCGGGAAACCGGAGCUAAUACCGGAUAAUAUAUUGAACCGCAUGGUUCAAUAGUGAAAGACGGUUUUGCUGUCACUUAUAGAUGGAUCCGCGCCGCAUUAGCUAGUUGGUAAGGUAACGGCUUACCAAGGCAACGAUGCGUAGCCGACCUGAGAGGGUGAUAGGCCACACUGGAACUGAGACACGGUCCAGACUCCGACGGGAGGCAGCAGUAGGGAAUCUUCCGCAAUGGGCGAAAGCCUGACGGAGCAACGCCGCGUGAGUGAUGAAGGUCUUCGGAUCGUAAAACUCUGUUAUUAGGGAAGAACAAAUGUGUAAGUAACUAUGCACGUCUUGACGGUACCUAAUCAGAAAGCCACGGCUAACUACGUG
rnacentral:rRNA from 1 species